rnacentral:rRNA from 1 species
AGAGUUUGAUCCUGGCUCAGAACGAACGCUGGCGGCGUGGAUAAGACAUGCAAGUCGAACGGAUCAUUCAUUGUAGCAAUACAGUGGGUGGUUAGUGGCGUAAGGGUGAGUAACACGUGGGCAACCUGCCCGGAAGAGUGGGAUAGCUCGCCGAAAGGCGAAUUAAUACCGCAUGUGGCUGAGGGUCUUUUGGCUCUUGGGCUAAAGUUGGUGUCAAAGCUAACGCUUCUGGAUGGGCCCGCGGCCUAUCAGCUAGUUGGUGAGGUAACGGCUUACCAAGGCGAUGACGGGUAGCUGGUCUGAGAGGACGACCAGCCACACUGGAACUGAGACACGGUCCAGACACCUACGGGUGGCAGCAGUCGAGAAUUUUUCUCAAUGGGGGAAACCCUGAAGGAGCGACGCCGCGUGGAGGAUGAAGGUCUUCGGAUUGUAAACUCCUGUCAUUGGUGAACAAGGCCCGUGGUUAACUGCCAUUGGGUUUGAUAGUAGCCGAAGAGGAAGAGACGGCUAACUCUGUGCCAGCAGCCGCGGUAAUACAGAGGUCUCGAGCGUUGUUCGGAUUCAUUGGGCGUAAAGGGUGCGUAGGCGGCGAGGCAAGUCUGGUGUGAAAUCCCGGGGCUCAACCCCGGAAACUGCACUGGAUACUGCUUUUGCUAAAGUACCUGGAAGGGAACUGGAAUUUACCGGUGUACCAGUGAAAAUGCUUAGAUNUNGUUAAGGGAAGACCCACGGCCGGAAGGCGGAGUUCCUGGGACCAGUUACCUGACGCUGAGGNCACGAAGGCCAGGGGAAGCAAACGGGGAUUAGAUACCCCGGUAGUCCCUUGCAGUAAACGGUGCGCGUUUGGUGUGGGAGGAUUCGACCCCUUCCGUGCCGGAGCUAACGCGUUAAACGCGCCGCCUGGGGAGUACGGUCGCAAGAUUAAAACUCAAAGAAAUUGACGGGGGCCCGCACAAGCGGUGGAGUAUGUGGCUUAAUUCGAUGCAACGCGAAGAACCUUACCUGGGCUUGACAUGCAUCUCUAAGUUGGUGAAAGCCAGCGAGUCCCGCAAGGGACGAUUUGCACAGGUGCUGCAUGGCUGUCGUCAGCUCGUGUCGUGAGAUGUUGGGUUAAGUCCCGCAACGAGCGCAACCCCUGUGAUCUGUUGCCACCGGUCUUCGGACCGAGCACUCUGGUCAGACUGCCCUGUGAAACGGGGAGGAAGGUGGGGAUGACGUCAAGUCAGCAUGGCCCUUACGCCCAGGGCUGCACACGUACUACAAUGCCCAGUACAGAACGAACCGAAACCGCGAGGUGGAGGAAAUCUCUAAAACUGGGCUCAAUUCGGAUCGCAGGCUGCAACUCGCCUGCGUGAAGCUGGAAUCGCUAGUAAUGCCGUAUCAGCUACGACGGCGUGAAUACGUUCCCGGGCCUUGUACACACCGCCCGUCACAUCAUGGGAGUCGUUUGUUCCCGAAGUGCGUGAGCCAACCCGCAAGGGAGGCAGCGCCCUAAGGAAUGAGCGGUAACUGGGAUGAAGUCGUACAAGGUAACCGUAGGGGGACCUGCGGCUGGAUCACCUCCUU